rnacentral:rRNA from 1 species
CCAGUUCGGAUUGUAGUCUGCAACCCGACUACAUGAAGUCGGAAUCGCUAGUAAUCGCGGAUCAGAAUGCCGCGGUGAAUACGUUCCCGGGUCUUGUACACACCGCCCGUCACACCAUGGGAGUCGGGAAUGCCCGAAGUCAGUGACCCAACCCAAGGGAGGGAGCUGCCGAAGGCAGGCCUGGUGACUGGGGUGAAGUCGUAACAAGGUACC